rnacentral:tRNA from 1 species
GGGCAAGUAGCUCAAUUGGAUAGAGCAUCGGUCUUCUAAACCGAGGGUUCUGGGUUCGAGUCCCAGCUUGCCUGCCA